rnacentral:rRNA from 1 species
UACGUAGGGUGCAAGCGUUGUCCGGAUUUAUUGGGCGUAAAGAGCUCGUAGGCGGUCUGUCGCGUCGGCUGUGAAAACUUGGGGCUCAACCCCAACCUGCAGUCGAUACAGGCAGACUAGAGUGCGGUAGGGGAGACUGGAAUUCCUGGUGUAGCGGUGAAAUGCGCAGAUAUCAGGAGGAACACCGGUGGCGAAGGCGGGACUCUGGGCCGAUACUGACGCUGAGGAGCGAAAGCGUGGGGAGCAAACAGG